rnacentral:rRNA from 1 species
CCCUUUGGGGUGUGACUGCGUACCUUUUGUAUAAUGGGUCAGCGACUUAUAUUCUGUAGCAAGGUUAACCGUAUAGGGGAGCCGGAGGGAAACCGAGUCUUAACCGGGCGUUAAGUUGCAGGGUAUAGACCCGAAACCCGGUGAUCUAGCCAUGGGCAGGUUGAAGGUUGGGUAACACUAACUGGAGGACCGAACCGACUAAUGUUGAAAAAUUAGCGGAUGACCUGUGGCUGGGGGUGAAAGGCCAAUCAAACCGGGAGAUAGCUGGUUCUCCCCGAAAGCUAUUUAGGUAGCGCCUCGUGAAUUCAUCUCCGGGGGUAGAGCACUGUUUCGGCUAGGGGGCCAUCCCGGCUUACCAACCCGAUGCAAACUGCGAAUACCGGAGAAUGUUAUCACGGGAGACACACGGCGGGUGCUAACGUCCGUCGUGAAGAGGGAAACAACCCAGACCGCCAGCUAAGGUCCCAAAGUCAUGGUUAAGUGGGAAACGAUGUGGGAAGGCCCAGACAGCCAGGAUGUUGGCUUAGAAGCAGCCAUCAUUUAAAGAAAGCGUAAUAGCUCACUGGUCGAGUCGGCCUGCGCGGAAGAUGUAACGGGGCUAAACCAUGCACCGAAGCUGCGGCAGCGACACUCAGGUGUUGUUGGGUAGGGGAGCGUUCUGUAAGCCUGCGAAGGUGGCCUGUGAGGGUUGCUGGAGGUAUCAGAAGUGCGAAUGCUGACAUAAGUAACGAUAAAGCGGGUGAAAAGCCCGCUCGCCGGAAGACCAAGGGUUCCUGUCCAACGUUAAUCGGGGCAGGGUGAGUCGACCCCUAAGGCGAGGCCGAAAGGCGUAGUCGAUGGGAAACGGGUUAAUAUUCCCGUACUUGGUGUUACUGCGAAGGGGGGACGGAGAAGGCUAUGUUGGCCGGGCGACGGUUGUCCCGGUUUAAGCGUGUAGGUGUGUGUUCCAGGUAAAUCCGGUUCACUUUAACACUGAGGCGUGACGACGAGGCACUACGGUGCUGAAGCAACAAAUGCCCUGCUUCCAGGAAAAGCCUCUAAGCAUCAGGUAACAUCAAAUCGUACCCCAAACCGACACAGGUGGUCAGGUAGAGAAUACCAAGGCGCUUGAGAGAACUCGGGUGAAGGAACUAGGCAAAAUGGUGCCGUAACUUCGGGAGAAGGCACGCUGACAUGUAGGUGAAGUGAUUUACUCAUGGAGCUGAAGUCAGUCGAAGAUACCAGCUGGCUGCAACUGUUUAUUAAAAACACAGCACUGUGCAAACACGAAAGUGGACGUAUACGGUGUGACGCCUGCCCGGUGCCGGAAGGUUAAUUGAUGGGGUCAGCGCAAGCGAAGCUCCUGAUCGAAGCCCCGGUAAACGGCGGCCGUAACUAUAACGGUCCUAAGGUAGCGAAAUUCCUUGUCGGGUAAGUUCCGACCUGCACGAAUGGCGUAAUGAUGGCCAGGCUGUCUCCACCCGAGACUCAGUGAAAUUGAACUCGCUGUGAAGAUGCAGUGUACCCGCGGCAAGACGGAAAGACCCCGUGAACCUUUACUAUAGCUUGACACUGAACAUUGAGCCUUGAUGUGUAGGAUAGGUGGGAGGCUUUGAAGUGUGGACGCCAGUCUGCAUGGAGCCGACCUUGAAAUACCACCCUUUAAUGUUUGAUGUUCUAACGUGGACCCGUGAUCCGGGUUGCGGACAGUGUCUGGUGGGUAGUUUGACUGGGGCGGUCUCCUCCUAAAGAGUAACGGAGGAGCACGAAGGUUGGCUAAUCCUGGUCGGACAUCAGGAGGUUAGUGCAAUGGCAUAAGCCAGCUUGACUGCGAGCGUGACGGCGCGAGCAGGUGCGAAAGCAGGUCAUAGUGAUCCGGUGGUUCUGAAUGGAAGGGCCAUCGCUCAACGGAUAAAAGGUACUCCGGGGAUAACAGGCUGAUACCGCCCAAGAGUUCAUAUCGACGGCGGUGUUUGGCACCUCGAUGUCGGCUCAUCACAUCCUGGGGCUGAAGUAGGUCCCAAGGGUAUGGCUGUUCGCCAUUUAAAGUGGUACGCGAGCUGGGUUUAGAACGUCGUGAGACAGUUCGGUCCCUAUCUGCCGUGGGCGCUGGAGAACUGAGGGGGGCUGCUCCUAGUACGAGAGGACCGGAGUGGACGCAUCACUGGUGUUCGGGUUGUCAUGCCAAUGGCACUGCCCGGUAGCUAAAUGCGGAAGAGAUAAGUGCUGAAAGCAUCUAAGCACGAAACUUGCCCCGA